rnacentral:tRNA from 1 species
UUUUAAAGGAUAAUAGUAAUCCAUUG